GACGAAGCUGGCGGCGUGGGAUUAGGCAUGCAAGUCGAACGGUAGGAUACCUUCGGGUAUCUGAGAGUGGCGAACGGGUGAGUAACACGUAGGUGAUCUACCCUCGAGAUUGGGACAACCCAGGGAAACUUGGGCUAAUACCGGAUGAAAGCAGCAGUGAUGUUGUUUGAAAGGUGGCGUAAGCUGCCGUUUGGGGAUGAGCCUGCGCUCUAUUAGUUAGUUGGCGGGGUAAAGGCCCACCAAGGCGAUGAUAGAUAGGCGGCCUUAACGGGUGGUCGCCCACACUGGGAUUGAGAUACGGCCCAGACUCCUACGGGAGGCAGCAGUCGAGAAUAGUCUACAAUGGCCGAAAGGCUGAUAGUGCGACGCCGCGUGAACGAAGAAGCCCUUCGGGGUGUAAAGUUCUUUUAUAUGUGAGCAGUGCUUUCUAUGUGAACAGCAUGGGGAGAGAGAUAUUAGCAUAUGAAUAAGCAACGGCUAACUCCGUG
rnacentral:rRNA from 1 species